UGGCACUCGGCUAACAUCAAGAUACAGUUGAAUUCCUCAUGAUAGAAACAAGAGGAGCUAGUUGCCCUUGGAAAUCUGCCGGUGAUGUAGAGGGAAAAAGGAAGCUGGAACAGGAGGGAAGACGGGCUAAAUGUCUGAAGGCUGCUGCCAGCUGGUUUUUGAAUCAACAUAGUGUCACCAGAAGAAUAUGGGGACAGAAGUUGAAUGUUGGCACGCUGAUUCCUGUCCCACAAGGACUCACUCCCAGUGGCUGUGAAGGAAGGGCUCGUUCUCCAUGA
rnacentral:lncRNA from 1 species